UUGUGUGUGUGUGUGUGUGUGUGUGUGUGUGUGUGUGUGUGUGUGUGUGUGUGUGUGUGUGUGUGUGUGUGUGUGUGUGUGUGUGUGUGUGUGUGUGUGUGUGUGUGUGUGUGUGUGUGUGUGUGCUUGUAGUAAUAAUCAAAAACAUUUCACUUUGUAAAGCUGUUAUGGUCGGCCUUCUGCCUUGAUUUUUCUAUCCUCGAUUUUUCUAUGUGUCUGUGUAUAAGUUUCUGUGUGUGUGUGUGUGUGUGUGUGUCUGUGUAGAUGUUUCUGUGUGUGUUUUUCUGUGUGUGUGUGUGUGUGUGUGUGUGUUUCUGUGUGUGUGUGUUUUAAGAUCAAAUAGUCUAACAAUUCAUCUCAUGGCAAAUCUUGUGUCAGUAGGAAUAUAUUUCUAAGAAAACUAAGUCCAGCUGUAAUUGUUUUUGCACAAGAAGUCAAUAAUGAGGCAUCUAAGUUUAUCCAUCCAUUUCUCACUUGGAGGUGGUAGGCCUACACUGUGAAUCAUUUGUCAUAUGAGAAAACGCUGCAUAAUGGUUUAUCUAGCAUUUCAAGUUUAUAUCCAUGAAUGUUACUCAUGACAUGGUGGGUUGUAAUAUCUAUAUUUUGCCCUCCCUAAAUUGAAUGUUUUAAUAGUAUCUUAGCGUAGCUAUGUCAGUCAUCGGACAGUGUCAAACAUCGGCCAUUCUGUUAAACAAUCAAAAUGCUAAAUGUAAUAAUGGAUUAACAAUCGAUAUGCUCAGUUUAAUAAUGGGUUAACAUGACAACUCGUUUGCCGAUAACACACGCCGUCCGAUAAUUAACACCGUUACGAUACAUGUCAGACAUAUAUAGACAUAUGACAUCUAUCAGCAGGAGGAUAAAAACCAUGGCAACGAGGGGAUUUAAUUAAAUGCGUUGUCCAUGUAUUGUGUGUUAGAUCUUAUCCUCAUACUUUGCCUAAGCCCCAAAAUAUUGUCAUUGCCAAGGAAAUUACAUGGCUGGGUGAAAGCCUGAUAAGGUAUUAAUUGCACAGUGCAUUAGCCUACCAAACACCAUACACCGACAUAUCUGUCUCCAAGAUUUAAUGAAAGACUGUAGGAAUAAAAGUUCUCAUUAAUACUGUAGGGCUCCACCACCAGGAAUGCUGCACAACCCCUUUAUUUGUCGAGACAGUGCUCAGCGUGAAAUUGAUUUAUGCAAACCACAAAAUCAUAUUUCUGUUCGUUAACUCAGGUACUUGCGGAAAGAGAAGGAAAAGGAUGUUAGUGUGAUUAGGGCAUUAUGGGGAGAAAAAUGCAAGGUGGAAGUGAUGUUCGAGACACCCUGUGGAGCAGUAAGAGGAUCUCAAGGCUGGUUGUACAAGAAAACAUGACAUAAUUCUGAAUUAAAGCAACAUUAUGUAACAAUUUUACCCUAAAAUAACAGUUUCAAGCUCAUUUUGGUUUGACUUGUAAUAUAGAGAAUGGCGUCUGUGCUACCCCAUGCCUGGUGUGCCUGGUAUUGCACUAUGUAACUUUGGUGGACAGGGUGCAACACUUCUUGCAAGAACUACAUAAUGCUUUAUGGCACAAUCUCACACAACAACUGGCCCCUUCUGCUAGCUAUAAGAAGAAGCUAGCACAGUAUUCUCUGUAUGGACAUCAUGGCAGAGGCGAUGAAGAAACCGAGGAAGACAUUGUCAGUGAGAUCAGUGAAGAGAAAAGAGAGAGUAACUGAGCAAGAGAAGGAGAGUUAGUCUUAGACAGGCUUUUACUUGUUGGCGAGAGCUAAAAGAGACAAAAGGAUCCAAGUCAGAUGCUGGCCUGGCCUUUCUGUUAGACUAGUCAGUGACAACUAAUUAGCUGUCUUGCUAUGUCUUGAGUUGUGCCUGCAUGAUAUUUUUCAUCAUAAACGUCCCUGAGAAUGCAAUGUAGGCUGUAACCUUAUCGGUGUCAUUCCUGUCUCACAGAGAUUUGUAAUUUUCUAGAUGCCCAAAGUCAUCAGUCCUGUCAGGCUAGCAUCCAAAUAAAUACGUCUCACACCAAAUAAGCCUGUGAAGUUGGCAACCUUGAAAACUCUCUGCUUGUUUGUAAAUGUAAAUUACACAGCCCAAUGUGUAUUAUGCACAAUAUAUGCCUGUAUCGUGUCGCAAACAACAUUUUAUUAGAUUACACAGAUUACAAUUGAGAAUAUGCCUACAACAAAUUAUCAGUACAGUUCACUUACUUUUCCUGAGUUCCUGAAUAAUAAUAUUAAUAUAAGUGAGGUGCACUGGUGUGCAUAGAGCAUAGUGGUCGAGAAAGCAGAAGAACCUGUAAACAAUUCCAGCAUCCUGUUGCCAUAGGUUACAGAGACAUGAUGCCUUUGUUCUCGAGAUGAAAUUGAGUUAGCCUUGUGAAGACAUAGUGGAGCUCCUGUAUGCUUUUGUACUUUAAUUGAAUUUAAUGAAAUAUUUUUAAUUAUCUUUUUAAUCCUAGCUUUGCAGUGACAUGUCCCAGAAAACACGGCAGGUAAUGAACCCGUUAAGAAAUAAUGAACUAUCCCAUUAAUAGGAGCUAUUCCACAUUCAAAUCCACCUUUUGUCCAUUAUCUCAACCUGAGCACUGAGAUGAUCUUUCUAAAAGCACAUGGGCAUUUUUUGCGCUAUGCGUGGGCAAUUUAGCGGUCUAGUUAGGAUGUCAAAAUUAUAAAGACAUUUCAAUCUAAUAGGAGUGCCUUGGUUUGGAGAGCCUUUCUCUCUCUUUUAUUCAUCAUCAUUUCACUCAUUUGAAAUGUCUAUUGGACUCUAGAUAACCUAGGAAGAAGAGAGAGUAUAAUAUUAUGAUUCAACUCUAAUGAAGGCCAUUUCCAUCCUCUCUCUCUUCUUCCUCACUUGCUCGCUCUCUCCCCCACUCUUCUAGAUCAUCUCUUGCUCACUUUCUCUCGAAAGUUCAGUAGUUUAGAAAAUGUACUCUUUGGUAUUCUCCAGAAUAAGAAAUACUGUCAUGGACACAAUAUGGCUACAGCCCCAGCAUAUUAACACAGAUAUCGAGUGAUGUCUGAAUGCUCUUAAUAAGAUAGGAAAGCAUUGUGUACAAGGCCAGUCACUGCAGGGGGAAGGACCUAUACUGGUCUAUCGCAUUUACACUAAAUACUUCUGGAUAAUAUUUUUGGUAUGUGUCAUAGUUUUCUGAUAACACAGAAUGAAUUGGGCUUUUUUUUUAGCAUUUUGGAUGGCGCUUUUAAAGCGUAUCCAUUUUGGCACAUUAGCACUUAGAUGCCACAUAUUGCAUCAUCUAUAAAGUGUGAUUUAAAAUGAGUGUGACUGUUAUCAUUUCUAUACACUCACCUAGUGUGUUUAGUGGUGACUUACCAUUCCUUUUUAAAUGGCAGCAUAUCUCCAUAACAAUCACAAGGCUACAUACACAGUUAUGUUUAUGUAGUCACAUUUAACAUGAGCCUAAUUUGGACUUGCAAGAGAGGAAAAGAAAGUUUCUUGCUCUUCAUUCAGCAGCUCGUCCCUCAUAAAUCUCCUGAUAAUUUAAAUCCAACAAUGGCCCACACAUACUUUCUCUGGACGCCCUUGAAAAUGUCACACAGAAUCCCAGAUGGACUGUUAUAUUUAAUCAGUAUGUUGCAAAAAAACUAUGCCGCAACACUCUAAAAAUAGAUGCAAGUGUCCGGAGUCAGAGAGACAGAUGCUGGAUAGAUUCCACAUAGAUUGCUUCCACACUCAUGUGUGCCAGAUAGGAAGGCAUGCCCUUCUUUGUGUGUUUGACUGUGUGGGAUGACAUGCUUGGCAAGGCCAGCAUUAAGCCGCCAUUUGCCAUGUGAGGUGAACAGUCAGAAGGUCUGACCCCUGGGUCUGUUUAAAGGGUCAAGUCUAGUCAAGUGUGGGUGUGAGACCGAGAAGGGAAGCCCACCUACCUACCUCACAUGCAUCUAGCGUCUUUGACUCCAGAAAACAAAGGCAGGAUGUUCCACACUCAGCAGGUCUUCAUUAACUGAAAAAAAUAUCACUUACAGUUUGGCAUCCGGUGACUAAAACACAACGAUUCUGUGUGUGACACUGUAGUUUACCCUUUCAGAUGUGAAAACAUAGAAUUGAAAAAAAAAAAUGCAUUUUGGAAAAUGUGGCCUGUAGACUGUGCAUGGACCAUAGACUGGCUUUAUUGUCAUUUCAACCAUAUAUGCAGCUAAUGCACUAUACAGUGAAAUGAAACACCGUUCCUCCAGGACCACAGUGCCACAUAGAACAACACAGAUCAGACAGGUCUACAUAAAGCACACGUGCGCAAACACAGACCAGACUGGACUACAUAAACUACACGUGUGCCAACAUGUACAGCACAAGACAGUACACAGUGUACAAAAACAGUACAGUAGGCACAGAAACAUCAAUCAAGGUAUGGAGUGCGACAACUGGUCCAAAAUACACACAUGCACAGUGUAGAGAGUGAUGGUAAUUAGUUUUAUACCAUAUAUUGAAGAUUCAGUCUUAGGUUUGAUCAGUCAGGAUUCAGGUUUAUUCUUGAAGAAUGGCGGCCGACCAUUUGUGAGACAGAAACUUUCAGAUCCAUCCUCCCUCACAGAACUUCACCUCAGUAUAUCUGACUUAUUCCUUGGGGAACAGUCUGUUAAAUACACUGACAUUAAGGGGUGUUACCGUCUAUUCAAAUGGGCCAUGCAUGCAGGGUUCUUUGUCUCGACCUGGGGGGGAGGUGAGACCAAUGUCGCACCUCACUCCCCUGGUCAAAAUCAAGUAUAUUCACCCUGGAACUGUUUACAUGCUAGUUAAGUCCAAAUAAAAGUAACAAUUAGAACUAGGUAUAAUAUCAUUGACUUAUUGACUAUGGCAUAUUCUUAUGACCUAUGCUGGUCCCUUCAAGAGGAUCACAACAAAUAAAUGCCCUCAUCAUGCUUAAAAAGAAAUGUUGUAGCCUGCUUCAAAACUUUAUAAUUUCCAACUGCGUAGAGCUCAUUACCUCUGCAGCAUUGACACUCACAACUAACAGACAGCCCUCUGCGACUUCAAUUAUCCCUUAUCUGUUGGCUGGAUCUCUGUCUCCGUUGUUGGAGCGGCUGAAGCUGUGCUUAAGCCUCUGCGACCUAUAUUUAAUUAGAGGCUCCCCUGUACAGUGACAGCCAGUUGUAAUGAUUUAUUGGGAUGUUUAAUAGGACUGUAAGGGGUUGGUUCAGCCUCCAUAUAAUCGCUAAGGGUAGCUGGAUGUUACAGUGUGGAUUCAUUUUUAUGAUAUAAUGACAUAUUUAUGACAAUGUUGUUUGUGUUAUUCAAUUGUGUUCUUUGGCUUGUUUUGACUUUUAGCAGCAGUCAAUAAUCCUGUCAAACAUAUCCUGUCAAUGUGUGUGCAAUACAGAGCGGUAGUUUCAGUGUGACAGUAUUAGAAACAAAAGCUAGUUCUGCCACAGCCUGUGCUAUUUGUUGUUGCUGUUGUGUGUUUGGUUAUUUAGAUCCUGGCUCAAGCUCAAAUUGUUUACCCUCAGUAACCCUGAAAAGACAUGAAGAGGCGGUCUGAUCCCAGAGCAGUCCGAGAGAGAACAAGGUCUCUCUACACCUCAGAGAUUUACUUUGCUGCUCCCUUCUGCCAGGUCAAGCAAAGCAAAGUACGGCAGAACGGAAUGUUUCUUUUGGCUGUCAGUCUGGUUGGUUUGGCUGACUUUAUUUGUGACUCGAUAACAAACCUUUAAGCUUUUAGCAUCCUGUCAGAAGUCAUAAGGACCACCCAAUGCUGAAUAUGGUUUAUCUGGAUAACUGGAUAUAUUUUACUGUAUUUACUUUCACAUUUUUCCCAUUUCAUUAUAUGCUGCAUUGCUUUGGCAGUCUAUUUUUUUUUUUAUCUUGAAAAGGGCUUAAAACAUGGGACAGGCCUGGUGUUUAAUGUCUGUCAGCACUAUGGAAUAUGACUCUCCUGGUAACUAAUUACGUAAGCAGCAUUACUAUUUUCGUCAGUGACAAAUUUGCAAUGCAUGGCUUUCGUGCGUGGCUCUCUAUGCCCUUCCCUGUCAAGCUGAUAAGUCCUUUUAUGACCCAAGGACGGACGAAUAAAGUAAAAAAAAAAAAACUCAUCCCAUCCUGCUCUGAUUCAGCCAGCCUUUAAUAUGCAACACCAUGUAGAUGCAUGUCCCUUGUGUCUUCACUGUCUUCGGAGACCAGUCCUCAGUCAGACAACAUGGGAGUUAUAAAUCUCUUUCAACAGUCAUGGGAAGAUUUUCCGUGCUGCCAUUUAUAGAUUACUUUAAUGGGCCUCAAUUCUAAUCUGCCAGUGUAAAGAGUGGAGCAGAGGGCAUAAUGACUUCAGACACCCUAACUCGCUUCGCACAUUUGGUGAAUCUUAACUACGGGACGGAGCAGCAGAGAGGAGACAAACAGGGUGGUGAGAGAAAAAAAUCAAUCAUUUAAACAUAGUUUAAUCUAACUGAGUUUCAUCAAAUCCACGUUCCUACCGUUGAGUGUGCAGGUCUUUUUCUUUAGUGAUUUAGUGUUGGAUGGAUCCCUUGAUAGUAUUUUGUCUGCAAUGCUGAUUGUCUGCUUCUCUUGAAUUGUAGGAGGAGGCAAUCAGCACUCUCUUCCUAAUGCCAGUGUCUCAUGCUGAAGCUCAGAUGUAAAAUGACAUCUUGUAACACCCACUUUCAUCUCUUCCAAAUAGUCUUGCAGUGCCUAAACUCUAAUAGAUAGUUGACUUGAUAGCCUUCACUUCAGGACUGUGUCCUCUUGAUUCAUUUCAAUUAAUUCAAAGGGAUGUUUACAGGACAUUAUAGUGAUAUAAUAACUAAUCCAUCAGAGAGAAGACAUAAGCUUUCUAACUCUUUGAAAUUGCAACUCAAGUGUUUCAUAGGAUUACCUAAAGCAAUUAAGGCUUCCCAGACAUGACACCUCUUACAGUCCUCUGUCAUACAGUGAUCCCAGUCUGGUCUUUAAGGGCAGAUAUUCAUUCUAUUAUGCUAUUAGGCCCUGUCAUGCUUCAGUGGACACACAUUCCCUUAUCUUAGAAGACCAGUUGACCGCUUGAACACAUAGCAAAAAGUAAUUUCAGAAUAAACGUGUGCUAAAAGCUGAGCAUUUCACUACACUAGCAUUAAACCAUGCACAACUAACGCAUAUCUCAGAGUCUUUCAUUUGAAAACAAACACCCUUAUUUUCUCUUCAGUCUGUUGGUAUGUACUAUGCAGUAGCCAACUUCCUAAUUAUCCCUCAGACCAUGUCCAAAUCUGCUUGAUAUACUCCCUUUGAAAAUACUUCAAGAUGACUAUUUCUGCACUAUUCAUAGUGGUGUGUGCAUGUGUGCUCAAACAGUAUGUACUCUCCUGUGUAUGGGUACACUCAGGCACCUAGAUUCCUCCCUCCAGUUGUUUGCAGCUCGUUGCGUGGGAGGUGGUAUGGCAGUGGAUCAAAACGGCCAUCUUAUGAAGGCAUUACUCUUGAUACCACUUGACAUCUUCUCUCCAUAAAUCAUGAGCCUAUCACCAUUAUGUUUCCAGAGGGUGGGACGCAUGCCCACGUUGCCUUGAAUAAUGUAAAAAUCUGGAAGUUAAUUCGAUUAGGGAUUUAAAUAGCGGAGCAUCUGUCAUGAUUAUGUGUAUCGGAGGGCAGGGUUUUUUGUGCAGAGUAAAAUCAUCACGGACGAUCCUUUGGGGUGUCACAGACAAACUGAAGUUGAAAUGUUAAUAUUGAGGUCUUCGAGGUGCACGGAGGCCCUACUUAUUUGCAUACUUUAAAUAAUUGCUGACAAUUUUGUUCUUUCUUGUAAGGGAUAACAGCUUCCAAAGUGUCCCAGUAUACACACUUAUUUGUAGUGCUAUGCCACAGGUUUAUAUAAAUCAACUCUUAUUAUUAAGGUGUUUUAAUUUGCUAUUUUUUAAAUUGAAAUAUAUCUAUUUUUAGUUGUUUUAUUUGUUCUCUGUCAUGUUGGCUGUGUUUUGCCUCCUGGAGACAUUGCAAUAAUGUAACGUUAAACAGAGGUUUCUUUGCAAUAUUACACAGAGGUUUCUUUGCAAUAAUGUAACGUUAAACAGAGGUUUCUUUGCAAUAAUUUAAUGUUACACAGAGGUUUCUUUGUGACACUGUCACGUUCCCCAGAGGUUUCUUUGUGACAAUGUCACGUUACCCAGAGGUUUCUUUGUGACACUGUCACGUUACCCAGAGGUUUCUUUGCUGAAUUUUUCUAUCUGCCUUGCAGCUGGGAUUAGCUCCAAGGUCUUUCACAUCACUUAACUGUUUCAACGUCCUUUCCUCACAUUUCAAGUUCUCUACUGUUAGAUAAGAGAUAAAAUCGAAUUAAAAUGUCCUGGUAACAAACAAGACAACAGGGCAAUGUCAGAAUUCCUGUACCAGCACAACAACUGUGUGAAUGUGUAUGUGUCUCUAUCACAUUUAUAUUGCACCACUCAAGCAAGACUCAGAGAUGCUAUGAACUUGUGAAUAUUUAACACUCUGACUAAUGUGUGUAUCAGAGACACUGCAUCACAGCUAAUGGUAUUAUCCUUCCUUGCCUGCGGGGAACAUAUUUUAGUGUAGAUGAAAGAUGCACAUCUCUGGCUGAAGCUGCAUCUGUAAGGGGCCCCAUAAUGAUGAGACAGUUCCACUCUGCCACGUCUGCCACAGCAGUCAUACUUGAAAUGCCAGGUAGGUCUGUAAAUUGCCGAUUGACUCUUCAUUGAUCUAUCAAGGUCAAACAAACAAACAAACAAACAAAUAAAUAAACAGAUAGAUAGAUAGAUAGAUAGACAGACAGACAGACAGACAGACAGACAGACAGACAGACAGAAAGACAGAAAGACAGAAAGACAGACAGACAGAUAGAUAGACAGAUACAUAGAUAGAUAGACAGGCAGACAGAUAGAUACAUAAAUAGACAGACAGACAGACAGACAGACAGAUAUAUAUAUAGAUAGAUAGAUAGAUAGAUAGAUAGAUAGAUAGAUAGAUCAGUGAUUGCUAAAUGUCAGAGUGAGAGUGAAGUAAUGGCGGUUCCCUGUAGCCAUUCUGUUGGAAAUGAGAAUGCCCCAGACAACCAGAAGCUCACCUCUGCGACCCUUGAGAAUGGUCCAUAAUUCACCCCGGUGAUCCCAGCCAUACCUUCGCCAUUUACUGCCCAUUAAGCUGUCCAUCUAAUGCAUACGUUUAACCCCCACACUGACCUUUUUACCGUUGUUUGCAGAUGUGACAUUUGGCCAUUAUGGCAUCCACAGGGACUGCAAGGACUGUAGGGACUUCACUGCUUUUAACUGGGUCUAAUUUUAAAUCUAUGGGUGAUCAUGAUGAUCACUGGUGUUGGUCCUACAUUAUGGAAUAGUCUCCCAUUAGAUAUUAGAUCUGCUGUCUGUAUCAAGAUUGUUAAAGCUGGACUAAAAACCUGCUUUUACACACAUUCCCGGAUUUUAAGUUAACUUAUCUAUUCUAAUCUAUCUAGUCUAUUCUCCAUUUUAUCUAAUUCUAACGUGUUUUUUCUUCUGUUUUAUUGUUUUUUACCUCUUUUACUCAUCACUUUUCAAAUUCCGUUCUUUUGUUACAAUAGUUUUUUUUCUUAUUUUGUUUUUUUAUUUGUACAGUUAUUUCCUGUUAUUUCUUUAAAUUCUUGGCUACAUUUGUUAUCAAUCUAUUUGCUUUGGCUAUAAAUCACUUUGGUCCAAUUCCUGUUGACUUGAUUUGACUUGCAGAGAUUGGAUAUUCUCACUCCGCUAAUGAGUGGCAGGGAAGGUGACUACAGUCAGGGGUUACAAUUGCCCUGUCAGUCUAUGAGAGGACACCUGGUAAUAAGACCUCCAUGCAUUUAAUGGGAAGGAUGUUUUGCUGAGAAUAACAUACAUGUUGUUUUCUUGUGUCUCUGUUGUGUGUAAUACCAGCUAUUUUUCUGUGUGUGUUAUUUAUCUAUUCUUGUUUGAGGACCAAAACAAAAACACAGGUAGUCAUGCAAAGUUUCUGAUUGCACUCUUUUUUUUUAGGGAAUUAGAAGCCUGAGUUUCCCUGUGAUCUUGUGGUGAUACCUGUGCCAAGUAUGGUGCCAAUUGAAAUUCAAAUAGAAGAUGUUACUACGAUUAUAACAAUACAACGUUUCUGUUGCUUAUCAAGGUCUGCAUUUCAAAGGUGCUAUACGUAAUAAUUUUAAGUUAAGUUUAGUUUAAAACAUUACAAAAAUUACUACAAAUGGCAACAUAAUGUGAAAGAAUAACCGUUUUGUCAUGUCAAAAAUGCCUAUGAAUUGUUUUGCCCAGAUAGCUGCUAAAGUUAGCAUUCUAACCUGCUAGGGCCAGGUUUCCCAAUAAUGAUAAUUCUUAGUGGUUACAAGUGUUCUUUACAGGCGAUUCUACAAACAUUUGUUACGUUUUUACACGCAUUUCCCAAACAAGCACGUAACACGAAAGUGCAUGCCCUGCUCUUAAGUAGCACUUAACGGACGCUGUCCAUGUAAACAGUGCCAAAACAUCACCUAAUCUGGUGAUAUCUGGUGAUGUUAAAGUUGUCUUUUCAACUGCAUAGAAUCUACAUGCUAACUGACUUAAAAGCAGAUAAACUUUAACUAUCUGUAUAACUAACGUCAGAAUAAACAUUCUCUGAGUAUGCAUAUGUGCACACAUACACACACCACAAAUAAUGCUCAUGAUUAAAACAAUUUUUAACGUUACACUGGGCCUCAUUUAUAAAACGUACUUACGCACAGAUUUGAUCUGAGAGUGUUCGUGCGAUCAAAUCCACGUCUAAGUACAGAUUUAUAAAAACCGUCUUAGACGUAGAAAAGGACGUAUCUCUACGUCUGGUUCUAGUUCGUGUAAGUACAUUUCCUUGUGGCAAUACUGGAGUACUGCAGGAAUUCGGAACUCUCCGAGCGCCGACACGCAGUUUCAUCAUCAUCAUCGUCACCACCACCGUCACCAUAGGGCUAAUGGUAAAAGGCCAAAUGAAUGUUUCGCUCAAUAAAAUCAAUUAAACAAUUUGAAUAAUUCAUACAUGAAUGAAAUUCACGUCUAAUAGGUAUUCAUUUUAAUUCCACACGUGUAAAACAUUUCGCUCAAUUUAUAGCCUAUAAAAAGCCUGAUAGUGACAGUUUUCAGUAGGAGAUAUGGCUGCUUUGGCGUUGUUAGAGGAUAUUACCCCUCUGUGUCCGAAAUGUAUUACAUGUCCAUACAGUGCCCAGGAACAGCGAAAUGUGAAAGAGGAUUUUCUGCGUAAAACAGGGUUCCCAAUGGCUUCUCACCCCGAUUGCGCACACUCAGACAGCCUAGGAAGCCCACUUCAAUACAGCACAUGCCCGUGUGCGGUCUGUAGUGGAGCGCAGCAUAGGCAUGCUGAAGGGAAGGUGGCGAUGUUUGGAUGCAUCGGGAGGGAGACUGCUAUAUGCCCCCGAAAAGGUUUGCCAGAUCAUCCUAGCCUGUUGUGUGCUACACAACAUCUGUCUAAGCCAUGGCAUAGAGGAGAAGACGAAAUGCGCAUGGACCAAGAUGACCACCCUCCCAUCCCAGCUGACUGGAACACGCACAUCACUGCGCUGAGAAGACGGGAGCUGAUUCACUAACUAUACCAACAGUAUAAGAAUAAAUGCACACAUGUUCAUUUUCUUAAGAAUGUUUUAUUUAGGCACGUUUGUUCAAAGAACCCUCAAUAGCGGACAGAGUUCAGCAACAACCUCGCUAACAGACUCAUUCAAGUCCCUUUGUGAAUGAGAAGAGGAAGCUGGUGAUGGCCAACGAGGCCCCGAUGCUGGUGCAGCAGGUGCUGCUGCCGCAGAUGCGGCUUCUGGUGCUGCUCGUUCCGCAGGUGCGGCCGCUGGUGCUUCGGAGACGUGUCUUCUACCAUGCCACAUACUUUGCUUUUGCCAUUAGCCUACGCCACCUGACAGGCUUUCGAACAAUGUUUUGGCCCGCAUCUGCUCUUCCAUCAGCAGAACGUCGAUUUAAACCUCACUAUAAUUCUUCUUUUUACAUGUUUCUUUCUUGCUUGCCAUUGUCACAGAGAGUUUGUGCAUUGAGGAUGCGCUCCGUUUGUGCAUUGAUAAUAUCCUAAUUAGAUUAAGUAGGGGCGUUUUGAGAGCGGAGAUUCAGCUGCGCACAAUUCCACGAUCAUUUGUGAUUUAUAAAUGCAGGAAUGGCGUACACGUGUUUUUUGGGCGUACGUUCGUUUUCUGUGAAUAACACUUACGACCAUUUCAGAAAACGUCUGAGAUCAAAUGUAGGAUGGUUUCUACGCAACAUUUUAUAAAUGAGGCCCGAUGUGUGAGAAGGUGAAAUCCCUCCCCCUUCUCACUGUGGCCCUAAGGGGGAGAAGGACUGGACUCCCCUACCUGAAUGGUUGGGUCCGGGUUCCCCCUCCUCUGUAGUGUCCUCUGUGGAGUCCAAUUGACUCCAAUUGGACCAAUUUAGCCCUCGGGCGGCCUUAUUUAAGGUGCACCUCAUUGUUGCAUGAGGGGAAGACAGACUGAACAUGCUGGAAGAAAGCUGGGACAAGUACAUAGAUUAAACCUGUGUGAUCUGUGACCACAGAGUUGCACCUUGUUUGUUUUUGGCCUUUAGUGUUGUUCAGUUUGUAUAUGUUUUGGGGUUUCGAAUUAUCCUGUUGUAAAUAAAUAGCUAUUUUUUAAGAAAGCCACCUGCAACCCCAUUCCAACCAGCCUACAUCCCACAUUGUGGGGUGGUCGACUCGAGCCAUCUUCACACACUGUAUUCAGAUUUGUUUAUUGAAUGAUGUGUCAACAUGUUAGGCCUACUCAAGACAUCCAACAUAAACCUGCUCUUUGCCACUUGCAGGUGUCCCAUAGUGUGUGGCAUGCUGCCCGAGGAAGAGCACUUUUGGGUAUCCUUGAAGAAAGAAUUUAAGGAUGAGGACGAGGAAGAUAUACAUAACAAAUAAAGGCCUAAGGCUGAUUUUGACACAGAACAUGUACAUUAUGUUACUCAACAAACUUUUUUUUAAAUGUAAUAGUUUCUAAUUCGUAUUCAUUGUUAUGUUCUUUUUUUCUGUCUGAUGGAACUUGGUUUCCCCUAGUCUCUUCCACUUUCUGCACCAACUUCUGAGCUAGGCUUAGGCCCUACUGAAUAUAGUCUACAAUAUGCCCCCAGCAGAAAAAAGACCAAAGGAAGGGAACAUACCGAACGUUCCCGGGACAAUUCUGGCAUUCAUGAAAGUUUUCUCAUCUGUGAUUUGUUUGCUUUGAACAGAAUUUAAGAACGCUAAAUAACAGUCGUAAAUCGGCCAGUUUGGAGUGCGCCCAUGUUGUUAACGGCUGAAUUUGUGAGAAAUCAUUGGUGAUUGCGUUCACAUCAAGUUCUACAGACAUCCUCAGAUUUAAAUGAUUAUAAUAAUAAUAAAUAAGAGAAUAUUUGUAUCAUAAACAAUUACGUUUCACAUUUAUAGUCAUGUUUCUAGGAGGCAUCGUGAUGUCUUAACAAAAAUAAAAGCACUACACGAACACUGCAAAUGGCAUUGAAAAAAUAAAUACCGUAAAUCCUCAAAUUGUGGCCGGGGCUUUUAUUUACUUAGGCUGCACAGCGCACUGGCCUGUAUUUAGGGCAGGCUUGUAUUAGGGGCAGGCCUUUAUUUCUUACUUAUUAUACGGCUCUUCAGAAUGUUCCCCAACAUUAGCAGGUCUGUAAUUUCUUGAUAUUCACCACUGCGAAAAGUUAAUGACCGCUAUCAUUGGCAACAGGUUUUGUGCUUCUAAUUCACAUCUUUCAUAUCAUUCCACAAGAAGUCCGGUCAUUUAACGUAGCGGAAAGUCAUUGUAACUUGAAGUCAGCAAGUAAUGGGUUGCUACGCAACACCUGGAACGUUAAAGUUCUAUUAGCCUGAAGACAUUUUUUUUCUUAGCGGAAAUCACGAAACGGCAACAAAAUCAUGGAGGAAUGUCUUCUAUCGUUUAGGCAAGUAACUGUAUAAAAACAAAUUCGCCUUGUAGGCUGAAACAUUUCUUUUUUUAUUGCAAACAGCCAUGAAAUUAUCCAACAACAUUAAACAUGAGGAGAACAUGUAUUUAUGAAAUGCAUUCAAUUAAAUUGUGAUAUCUGCUUUGUGCUGAUGGACUGAUGCUGGUAGGCUACAGUAAAAUAGGCUACCGGUACCUUUUUUUACCCCCGGCUUGUAUUCGGGGCCCUGUCUUUAUUUGUCCGUAUCGACCACGCCCCCGGCUUCUAUCUGAAGCCCGGCCUCUAAUUGAAUCCCGGUCUUUAUUUGAGGAUUUACGGUAAGCACUAAACUCAAUCGCGUGGAUAUAGCCAUGGUGGAAUAGAAUGGACACAUCUACAUUCUGCAACAGUACCUCCACCUCUGCACCGGUGAAGUAAGGAUACAUGUUGAAAGUUGCUCCUGUAAAGUUCCAGCAAAACCCACGCUGACCGUGUGAACUUUGGACAUUAUUUGUCUGUGAGUAGAUAUUUUGUGUUGGGACAUUAAUGCCGUUUAGAGAAUUUGUGUUUGUAAAUGUUAUAAGAGAAUUCAGUAUUUAGCAGCCAAGUUAUGCUAGCUCUUGUGGUAUCGUGCUACCUUUAUGCCACAUCAUUUGACGUGAAAUGUAUGUAUCUCUUUAUUUCUGUCUGUUCCAGACAGUUUUACUAAAUCAAACGUCCUGUAUGAAUAAUUGCAUGCUGAUAACUUCAGUAAACUCAAAAAAAACAAGACUUGUGGAUUCACUUGAAAUUCAUCUUUAUUCUGCAAAGACAAGUGUUAGCUAGCUGUCAGUCCUGCAAGGUAGCAAACGCAGUACGAAGACAGCAUAGAGAGACAGAGGGAGAUAGGGCCAGACAGCAAUUUUUUCAUGUCCCCCCCAAGAUUUACUCUCUGAAAUGUUACCAUGUAUUGUCCCCCCCUACAAAGAAAUGGGAUCUCCGCCCCUGCCCACACCGUCAGGAAUGAUGUUUUUAAUAGCCAAAAUCCCAUCUCAGAGGCUAGAAUAAUGACGUGAAGUGUUUGUUAAUUAAUGGAGAAAUGGAAUCCUUGAACUGCAGAGCCCCCAUCCAUUUUUAAAGUGCUGGCUUGAAUUUACGAAUGGAUCCAAGUUCAUUACUAUCCUGUAGUUAGUAUCAACAAGUAGCUCAAUAGCAAGCCCAUCAGACAAACAUGGAUGGUUAGACUAGUCUAGAUCAGCUAGCUCAAAAGCUCUAAUUCUUAAAUGAAGACCUACAGGGGUCUGCUUGCCUCGACUAAGUCGAUGGAUUGAUGUUGAUGGACACACUAAUGGCCACACCACCUUGGUCAAACAUUUUUCACUUCUGUGAAGAGAGAGGAGGUAGGGGUGUACACACGUAGUAACACACCGUCCCCAAUCUGUUUCAGACGGGGAAUGUGAAAUCAUUUAGCUCACUAGCUGAGUCACACCACCUUGGUCAAACAUUUUUCACACCGUCCCCAAUCUGUUUCAGACGGGGAAUGUGAAAUCAUUUAGCUCACUAGCUGAGUCACACCACCUUGGUCAAACAUUUUUCACACCGUCCCCAAUCUGUUUCAGACGGGGAAUGUGAAAUCAUUUAGCUCACUAACUGAGUGCAGAACAUAAAGGUCAGGUCUGACGUCUUAGUCACGGGCCUCAGCAGUAAUGGACCUCUAAAGAGAGCCCAUCUUCAGUGAUGACAUCAUUAGAUCAUUUAACAAGGAUGUUGCUUUCUCCGGUUGAGGUAGAAAUCAUGCUGGAAUGCUCAUCACAUCCAGUUCUAAUGUGUUUCUCCCUCAAAGGAGACGGUGUUUGACCCGUUCAUUUCUUACGAUUACUUGUGUCAUCGUGUGCAGGAAGUGGAAGAGUGAGGUACUCAGAUGCCUGCAGCACACGGUUUGGCAAAACCACAGUUGUGUGCUGGCAAGUGGAGUUCUCUGAUGAUCCAGCUCUUUGCUUUUAAUGAGCACCAAAGAUCAAACAGUGGUGUGUUUGGUUUGAUUGGGUUGACCCAGAUGAAAUAACUUGCAUGCCUCUGAAGCCAACUGAGCAUGUAGCGUAAGAGAGGGACAUAAGUGAAAUGUGAUUUUGUUUGCUUGACAUAUAAAAAGGGUUAUGUUAGUUUACUUACCACAAUUCCGGCUGUACAUAUAUCCAGGACAGGUAGAUUUUUUUCGAUAACAAUGCUAUGAGGAUAAAAUGACAAUGAAAUAGACGUACAUUUUAUUUGGUGAUUUCAAGAUAGUAAGUUGUUAUUUCUAGAUAGUAUCUCAAGUAAGUCGAUAUAUUAUCUUGUUUUCAAGAUUUUAAGUUUAAGUUUAAUAGUAUUUCAAAAGUCAUUAUUUCAAGAUAGUAUCUUGUUAUUUCAAGAUAUUAUUAUCUUACUACUCGGUAAGACGUUGUAAGAUGCAGUAGCUUAUCAGGUUAAAUGGGCCCAUAUCUCUCAAAGUAAAAGAUUAAAGUAAAGCACAUAUUUUAACAUUGUGAGAAAAAAUGAAUGCCUUAAAAAAUAAAUAUUAAACCCUUGAAGUGACCUUGAUCAAUAAAUAGCCUUUCAUGAUAUCCUCUGGAUGAAGAAGCCUAUUUAAUGUUUUUUAUUUUUAUUUGAGGUAUCAUUGCAAUGACCUGGUCUAAAUUAGUGAUUUCUAGUGUCAUGCAAGUAGUCAAUAAAAUGUUAAAGUGGACAUUACACACUAAAUGUAGUUAGCAUUAUUUACAAGAUGGGUUCCCACUGUAAAAAUCCUAAUAGGUUUAACACUGUCAGUGAAACUGGAUUAAAAAUAAUAACUAAUAAGUAAUUGAAGUUACAAUUUGCAAACAAGUCUAGCACCAUCUUUGAAACUCUGACUUAGUAAAUAUUAUCUUGAAAUAAGAACUUAUUAUUUUGAAAUAAUGAGAUACUAUCUUGAAAUAAUGACAUGACAAUAUGUUUAAACAAUGAGAUAUUAUCUUGGAAUUAUGACAACAUAUUGUAAAAACGAGACACCACCGUGAAAUAAUGAUUUAAUAUCUUGAAAUAACAAGAUACUAUCUAGAAAUAAUGACUUAAUAUCUUGAUAUCCUGAAAAGGAUCUAUUAGUUAUUUAGGUUUUCAAUUUUCUUCACAUAAAUACACAUGUACUGUAUAUUGACAGUAAUGGUAACAUGACAUCUGCCACAGCAUGUUUUUAUGUAGUAACAUCAAUCUGAUAAUGUAGGCUACCAAUUCAUUUCACUGUAUGCAAUUCACAGUAGCAGUAAAUUAUCUUUUUCAUGUGUCUUUGUUGAGGUCUUACUGCAAGACCUUGCUCAGGGAGAGACAUUAUUGGCAAGCUUCAGCCCUACUUCUUGGAAUGACUGUAGCAAAAAGAAGGGCAGUGGUGUUUGUCAAGGGGCUGUUUGCUCAAUAUGCCUGAAAUCACUGGGCAGCCAGGGAGCAUGUAAUCUUUCAACUCCCACCCCCACCCUGAAACCCCCGUCCGCUUUAUACGACUGGAUGUCUAGCGAGACAUUUUGAUUGCAACACUGUGCUCAAGUUGCCCCAAAUCAAAUGCAGUACAGACAUGUUCACGAUGGCCGCCGCCUGUUGUGCAGAAUACCAAUGACCAUCUUCCAUUAGGAGGCAGAUUAACAGAGAAUGUCAAUUGAAAAAAACCCUCCAGUCUCUCCUUUUCAAACCUCCAUUAGUUGAUUAAUUUUUACCAUUUACAGAAGCCAUCUUGUUCCAAACAUGUUUUAAUACUUAGCUGUCAAUCAUCCAAACAAUGUACAUCUGUCAAUGUCAGUUAAAGAAAUUUGCACUGAGGGAAGCACUUUGUCUCUCCUCUGGGCUCUCUUCCCUGCAGACAUCAAUAUAAAUCUACGUCCUCCACAGACUGACAACCUCCCAUUACGAGCAUGCAUGGGGAAAAAGACAAAUUGCGGCUCUCUCACCCUGAGGUUGGCGAGAGUUCAUCCAGACUGGGCCACGGAGGAGGCCGAGUGCUUUUGUUGGCCUGUCACAACUCCGCAUGUCAGCUGGGCACGUCAGUGGGUGUUAAACACGGCCCCGCAUCGGGGGCCCUGCGUUUAACUCGGCACGGGCGCGGAAUCGAAUGCUCGCUCAAGUGCAUCCCUUUGAAUCCAAUCUGUAGUGUCCUCCUGGGCUGGAAUGUUCAUGAGUGUGUG
ensembl:lncRNA